rnacentral:rRNA from 1 species
CUACUCGACUCCUACGGGAGGCAGCAGUGGGGAAUAUUGGACAAUGGGCGAAAGCCUGAUCCAGCCAUGCCGCGUGGGUGAAGAGGCCUUAGGGUUGUAAACCCCUUUCAGCGGGGAAGAUAAUGACGGUACCCGCAGAAGAAGCCCCGGCUAACUCCGUGCCAGCAGCCGCGGUAAUACGGAGGGGGGCUAGCAUUGUUCGGAAUUACUGGGCGUAAAGCGCGCGUAGGCGGACUUUCAAGUCAGGGGUGAAAUCCCGAGGCUCAACCUCGGAACUGCCUCUGAUACUGUAAGUCUUGAGUCCGAGAGAGGUGAGUGGAAUUCCUAGUGUAGAGGUGAAAUUCGUAGAUAUUAGGAAGAACACCAGUGGCGAAGGCGGCUCACUGGCUCGGUACUGACGCUGAGGCGCGAAAGCGUGGGGAGCAAACAGGAUUAGAUACCCUGGUAG